rnacentral:misc_RNA from 1 species
UUUCCGUAGGUGAACCUGCGGAAGGAUCAUUAAACGUUGCCACGUAUAUACCAAACCGCGAACCGUUAUUCACCCCAGAUUCUAGAUUGUAAGGGCGAAGCGCCACCGUGGGUGUGGUUGGCCGCACCGAAGUAACAGAGUUUACUCUGCUAAAACGGCACGGCUAUGCGCAACGCUUGUUCCUUCUUUCGAGAAGGGAGUCUAGUUUGUGGGUUCUAAUUGCAUCUCCAAGAGAUUACAUCUCUUGAUUUAUUAACCAAUGAUGAACUAACUUUGUAAUCAAUAAAAAUGUCAAGCGUAAAACCUUGAACGAUUUAUUAAAAAACUAAGCACAAUACUUAGCAACGGAUAUCUGGGCUCUCGCCUCGAUGAAGAACGCAGC